rnacentral:rRNA from 1 species
CUAACAAGGAUUCCCCUAGUAACUGCGAGUGAAGCGGGAAAAGCUCAAAUUUAAAAUCUGGUAGUCUCUGGCUGCCCGAGUUGUAAUCUAGAGAAGUGUUAUCCGCGUUGGACCGUGUAUAAGUCUCCUGGAAUGGAGCGUCAUAGAGGGUGAGAAUCCCGUCUUUGACACGGACUACCAGGGCUUUGUGAUGCGCUCUCAAAGAGUCGAGUUGUUUGGGAAUGCAGCUCUAAAUGGGUGGUAAAUUCCAUCUAAAGCUAAAUAUUGGCGAGAGACCGAUAGCGAACAAGUACCGUGAGGGAAAGAUGAAAAGAACUUUGGAAAGAGAGUUAAACAGUACGUGAAAUUGUUGAAAGGGAAACGCUUGAAGUCAGUCGCGUUGGCUUGGAAUCAGCCUUGCUUUUGCUUGGUGUACUUCCUUGUCGACGGGUCAGCAUCAAUUUUGACCGGUGGAAAAAGGCUAGUGGAAUGUGGCAUCUUCGGAUGUGUUAUAGCUGCUAGUUGUAUACAUCGGUUGGGAUUGAGGAACUCAGCACGCCGAAAGGUCGGGGUUCGCCCACGUUCGUGCUUAGGAUGCUGGCAUAAUGGCUUUAAUCGACCCGUCUUGAAACACGGACCAAGGAGUCUAACAUGCCUGCGAGUGUUUGGGUGGAAAACCCGAGCGCGUAAUGAAAGUGAAAGUUGAGAUCCCUGUCGUGGGGAGCAUCGACGCCCGGACCAGACCUUCUGUGACGGAUCCGCGGUAGAGCAUGUAUGUUGGGACCCGAAAGAUGGUGAACUAUGCCUGAAUAGGGUGAAGCCAGAGGAAACUCUGGUGGAGGCUCGUAGCGAUUCUGACGUGCAAAUCGAUCGUCAAUUUGGGUAUAGGGGCGAAAGACUAAUCGAACCAUCUA